CUGGAUGGGAAUGAAGUCCUCUAUUUUAUCCACAAACAUGUACAGCACAGGCAAUGGCAGAGCAAGCUGCUCCACUCUGCUUUCACAAUGUGUUUCAAGUGUGAACUGGAAUGAUUACACCUAGCAGUGAUUUAGUCGUAUUCAUUUGCUGAGUACAGUCAUUAGCCCCU
rnacentral:sRNA from 1 species